UGUAUUCACUACUGUAAGUCGCUCUGGAUAAGAGCAUCUGCUAAAUGUCAAAUG
rfam:Salmo salar isolate Sally breed double haploid chromosome ssa02, whole genome shotgun sequence.